rnacentral:rRNA from 1 species
AACGCAAGUUGCGCCCUAAGCCAUUUGGCCGAGGGCACGCCUGCCUGGGCGUCAAUCAUCUAUUCGUCACCUAGCCUCUGCUCCCCAUAAAGGAGCUCGGGUCCUGGUUACGGAAGUUGGCCUCCCGUGGUCUAGAAGUGCGGCUGGCCUAAAAUCGAGCAUCGGGUUGGUGAUCUCCGAGGCACGCGGUGGUUGUUCAUUCAUACCUCGUGAUGUUGCCCCUGAGCAUCUUCCACAAGAAGCUCCACGACCCUAGAUACAUAUCGAUGCGACCCCAGGUCAGGCGGGGCCACCCGCUGAAUUUAA